AGGCCGACCACGUGAGUCUUGUUCCCAAAGAAAAUGAGUUUUGUGCUGUGAUCUCAUCUUGUUUCCUUCAGUCUGAGUGAUUCCCAGCUUUCAACCAACAGAGCACAGACAGCAGAGCAAGGCAUUCUGGGACUUAGGUUUGGCACUGAUGGCAUCCAGGAAGACCAAGUUGCUGCCUGUGGAAUAACUGCAUCUGCUGUAACGAGCAGGCUGGAAGUCCAAGAACAGGGUGCCAACAUGGUGGGGAGAGCCUUCUCCCGGCAGCAGAGGGAAGGUUUAGUCAGUCUUUUAAGUAAUUGGAGCCUCUGCAACUCUGUCAUGCCAAAUAGAAACAAUUAACAAGAACCAAGAGCUGAUGAAGCACCAGAAGGCCCAUCUGGGACCACCCCCACAUCAGCCAAGGUUUUGUCAGCUGAAAAAAACAAAAACACCCUGUGUGGGAGCUCUGAGUUCACUUUUAUUUGGGGCUCACUGUGGACUAUAGCCCAGGAGACAACCUCUCAGAUAGCUUGGAGGAACUGCUCCAAAGAGGGGAUAUCAGGGAGCAAAGAAAGCUGAGUCUAUUGAUAGAACUUGUCUUCAACCUCAAAUGGAAACGCAAAGGUGCUUCAGGAUAAGAUCAGUAAGGGUCGAAGGUCCAAAGGAUGUAUCAACCUCUCCUGUGUUUGGAAUAAAGUUGGGGGCGGCAGUGAUGAGCAUCAGCAUCUGCGGCCACAGAGAGUCCAUGGUGUUUUUAAGGUCUUCGGAGGAGCACUUCCACUUUCAGGUUAGUAACCCAUUUCCUUUGUGAAUUUUAAGUGAA